UCGAGCGCGCCUUUCGGGGUGAGCGGCGGACGGGUUAGUAACGCGUGGGAAUAUACCCUUUUCUACGGAAUAGCCUCUGGAAACGGAGAGUAAUACCGUAUGAGCCCUUCGGGGGAAAGAUUUAUCGGGAAAGGAUUAGCCCGCGUUAGAUUAGGUAGUUGGUGGGGUAAUGGCCUACCAAGCCUACGAUCUAUAGCUGGUUUUAGAGGAUGAUCAGCAACACUGGGACUGAGACACGGCCCAGACUCCUACGGGAGGCAGCAGUGGGGAAUCUUGGACAAUGGGGGCAACCCUGAUCCAGCCAUGCCGCGUGAGUGAUGAAGGCCUUAGGGUCGUAAAGCUCUUUCGCCUGUGAAGAUAAUGACGGUAGCAGGUAAAGAAACCCCGGCUAACUCCGUGCCAGCAGCCGCGGUAAUACGGAGGGGGUUAGCGUUGUUCGGAAUUACUGGGCGUAAAGCGCACGUAGGCGGACUGGAAAGUAUGGGGUGAAAUCCCAGGGCUCAACCCUGGAACUGCCUCAUAAACUCCCAGUCUUGAGUUCGAGAGAGGUGAGUGGAAUUCCAAGUGUAGAGGUGAAAUUCGUAGAUAUUUGGAGGAACACCAGUGGCGAAGGCGGCUCACUGGCUCGAUACUGACGCUGAGGUGCGAAAGUGUGGGGAGCAAACAGGAUUA
rnacentral:rRNA from 1 species